rnacentral:rRNA from 1 species
CGGCCCAGACUCUUACGGGAGUCAGCAGUGGGGAAUAUUGGACAAUGGGCGCAAGCCUGAUCCAGCCAUGUCCGUCGUGUGUGAAGAAGGCCUUAUGGUUGUAAAGCACUUUAAGCGAGGAGAAGGCUACUUUAGAUAAUACCUAGAGAUAGUGGACGUUACUCGCAGAAUAAGCACCGGCUAACUCUGUGCCAGCAGCCGCGGUUAUACAGUAGGGUGCAAGCGUUAAUCGGAUUUCCUGGGCGUAAAGCGCGCGUAGGCGGCUAAUUAAGUCAAAUGUGAAAUCCCCGAGCUUAACUUGGGAAUUGCAUUCGAUACUGGUUAGCUAGAGUGUGGGAGAGGAUGGUAGAAUUCUCAGGUGUAGCGGUGAAAUGCGUAGAGAUCUGGAGGAAUACCGAUGGCGAAGGCAGCCAUCUGGCCUAACACUGACGCUGAGGUGCGAAAGCAUGGGGAGCAAACAGGAUUAGAUACCCUGGUAGUCCAUGCCGUAAACGAUGUCUACUAGCCGUUGGGGCCUUUGAGGCUUUAGUGGCGCAGCUAACGCGAUAAGUAGACCGCCUGGGGAGUACGGUCGCAAGACUAAUAACUCUAAAUGUAAUGACGG